AUUGAACGCUGGCGGCAGGCCUAACACAUGCAAGUCGGACGGUAGCACAGAGGAGCUUGCUCUUCGGGUGACGAGUGGCGGACGGGUGAGUAAUGUCUGGGGAUCUGCCUGAUAGAGGGGGAUAACCACUGGAAACGGUGGCUAAUACCGCAUAACGUCGCAAGACCAAAGAGGGGGACCUUCGGGCAUCUCACUACCCGAUGAACCCAGAUGGGAUUAGCUAGUAGGCGGGGUAACGGCCCACCUAGGCGACGAUCCCUAGCUGGUCUGAGAGGAUGACCAGCCACACUGGAACUGAGACACGGUCCAGACUCCUACGGGAGGCAGCAGUGGGGAAUAUUGCACAAUGGGCGCAAGCCUGAUGCAGCCAUGCCGCGUGUAUGAAGAAGGCCUUCGGGUUGUAAAGUACUUUCAGCGGGGAGGAAGGCGAUGUGGUUAAUAACCGCGUCGAUUGACGUUACCCGCAGAAGGAGCACCGGCUAACUCCGUGCCAGCCGCCGCGGUAA
rnacentral:rRNA from 1 species